rnacentral:tRNA from 1 species
NNNCCGGUGGUGUAAGGCGAACAUCGCUGCCCGGAAAGCAGAAGAUGCGGGUUUGAGUCCCGCCUGGCGCA